rnacentral:rRNA from 1 species
UACGGAGGGUGCAAGCGUUAAUCGGAAUUACUGGGCGUAAAGCGCACGUAGGUGGUUUGCUAAGUCAGCUGUGAAAUCCCCGGGCUUAACCUGGGCACUGCAGUUGAAACUGGCAAGCUAGAGUAGGGUAGAGGGGUGUGGAAUUCCAGGUGUAGCGGUGAAAUGCGUAGAUAUCUGCAGGAACACCCGUGGCGAAAGCGGCGCGCUGGACCACUACUGACGCUGAGGAACGAAAGCUAGGGGAGCAAACAGG